rnacentral:rRNA from 1 species
GACGAACGCUGGCGGCGUGCCUAAUACAUGCAAGUCGAACGCAGUGGGGACGGGUGAGUAACACGUGGGUAACCUCCCAUCAGAGGGGAUAAAACUUGGAAACGGUAGCUUAACCGAUACGCCGCGCUUAACACUUAUGGGUGUAGCUUGUAGGGGGGGGAACGGCUCACCUAGGCGACGAUCCCUAGCUGGUCUGAGAGGAUGAUCAGCCACACUGGGACUGAGACACGGCCCAGACUCCUACGGGAGGCAGCAGUAGGGAAUCUUCGGCAAUGGACGAAAGUCUGACCGAGCAACGCCGCGUGAGUGAAGAAGGUUUUCGGAUCGUAAAACUCUGUUGUUAGAGAAGCGGUAUCUAACCAGAAAGCCACGGCUAACUACGUGCCAGCAGCCGCGGUAAUUC